rnacentral:rRNA from 1 species
CACGUAGGCGGCGAUUUAAGUCAGAGGUGAAAGCCCGGGGCUCAACCCCGGAACUGCCUUUGAGACUGGAUUGCUUGAAUCCUGGAGAGGUGAGUGGAAUUCCGAGUGUAGAGGUGAAAUUCGUAGAUAUUCGGAAGAACACCAGUGGCGAAGGCGGCUCACUGGACAGGUAUUGACGCUGAGGUGCGAAAGCGUGGGGAGCAGACA